UACAGAGGGUGCGAGCGUUGUCCGGAAUUACUGGGCGUAAAGGGCGCGUAGGCGGCCUGAUAAGUCGGGGGCGAAAGUCAGCGGCUCAACCGCUGGACUGCCUUCGAGACUGUCGGGCUUGAGCAUGGUAGAGGCUGGCGGAAUUCCCGGUGUAGCGGUGGAAUGCGUAGAGAUCGGGAAGAACAUCGGUGGCGAAGGCGGCCAGCUGGGCCAUUGCUGACGCUGAGGCGCGACAGCGUGGGGAGCAAACAGG
rnacentral:rRNA from 1 species